GACGAACGCUGGCGGCGUGCUUAACACAUGCAAGUCGAACGAAGUGGCGAACGGGUGAGUAACGCGUAAUCAACCUGCCCUUCAGAGGGGGACAACAGUUGGAAACGACUGCUAAUACCGCAUACUGAUGGUGGGGAUUGCGUCGGAUUAGCUAGUUGGAGGGGUAAAGGCCCACCAAGGCGAUGAUCAGUAGCCGGUCUGGGAGGGUGAACGGGCAAAAUGGGACUGGGAAACGGGCCAGAAUCCUACGGGAGGCAGCAGUUGGGAAUCGUUCGCAAUGGACGAAAGUCUGACGGAGCAAAGCCGCGGGAGUGAUGACGGCCCUCGGGUUGUAAAGCUCUGUUAAUCGGGACGCGGUACCGGAAUAGAAAGCAACGGCUAACUACGUGCCAGCAGCCGCGGUAAUAC
rnacentral:rRNA from 1 species